UGGGGAAUAUUGCACAAUGGGCGCAAGUCUGAUGCAGCCACGCCGCGUGUAUGAAGAAAGAUUUCGGGUUGUAAAGUACUUUCAGAGGGGAAGAUGGGAGUGAAGUUAAUACCUUUACCCCUUGCUGAUACCGGCAGAAGAGUCACCGGCACACGCCGUGCCAACAGCUGCGUUAAUACGGAGGGUGCAAGCGUUCAUCGGAAUUACUGGGCGUAAAGCGCGCGUAGGCGGUUUGUUAAGUCAGAUGUGAAAUCCCAGGGCUUAACCUUAGAACUGCAUCUGAGACUGGGAAGCUAGAGUGUCGUAGAGGGGGGUAGAAUUCCAGGUGUAGCGGUGAAAUGCGUAGAGAUCUGGAGGAAUACCGGUGGCGAAGGCGGCCCCCUGGACGAAGACUGACGCUGAGGUGCGAAAGCGUGGGGAGCAAACAGG
rnacentral:rRNA from 1 species